rfam:Thiothrix nivea DSM 5205 genomic scaffold Thiniscaffold_4, whole genome shotgun sequence.
GAGGGAAAGGCCCCUCGCAGUCGAUGUACAGGCAUGGGCUGCAAACCCCCUUAAGCGGCGUUAGUCAAAAGCUCCCGUCGUGAGCGUUAAGGAAAAGGCGUUGAUAAACGUCAGGU